rnacentral:rRNA from 1 species
GUCUUUUUGAUUUUAAUUUAAAGUCGUGCCUGCCCAAUGAUUUUAAUGGCCGCGGUAUUUUGACCGUGCAAAGGUAGCAUAAUCAUUAGUUUAUUAAUUGUAAGCUGGAAUGAAUGGUUUGACGAAAAAUAAGCUGUGUCGAAUUAAUUUAAUGAAUUUUAUUUUUAGGUUAAAAAGCUUAAAUAAUUUUAAAAGACGAGAAGACCCUAUAGAUUUUUAUAAAUUUGUGUAUAAAUUUUUAUUUAUAUAUGUAUUUAUUUUAUUGGGGUGAUGGAAAAAUUUAUUUAACUUUUUUUGUUUGUUUUAUUUAUUUAUAUUUUAUUGAUCCAAAUUUUUUUGAUUAUAAGAUUAAAUUACCUUAGGGAUAACAGCGUUAUUAGUUUUUUGAGUUCUUAUCAAAAAUUUAGUUUGCGACCUCGAUGUUGGAUUAAAAUUAAUUUAUAGUGCAGUAGUUAUAAUAUUAGGUCUGUUCGACCUUUAAAUUUUUAUAUUAGGUCUGUUCGACCUUUAAAUUUUUAUAGUGCAGUAGUUAUAAUAUUAGGUCUGUUCGACCUUUAAAUUUUUAUAUUAGGUCUGUUCGACCUUUAAAUUUUU